rnacentral:rRNA from 1 species
AAAAAAGGUAAGCUACUAAGAGCGAAUGGUGGAUGCCUUGACUGGUAAAGGCGAUGAAGGACGUACUAGACUGCGAUAAGCUACGGGGAGCUGUCAAGAAGCUUUGAUCCGUAGAUUUCCGAAUGGGGCAACCCAAUGUAUAGAGAUAUACAUUACCUAUAUAGGAGCGAACGAGGGGAAUUGAAACAUCUUAGUACCCUCAGGAAAAGAAAUCAAUAGAGAUUGCGUCAGUAGCGGCGAGCGAAAGCGCAAGAGGGCAAACCCAGUGCUUGCACUGGGGGUUGUAGGACUGCAAUGUGCAAGAGGUAAGUUUAGCAGAACAUUCUGGAAAGUAUAACCAUAGAGGGUGAUAGUCCCGUAUGCGAAAAACAAACCUUAGCUAGCAGUAUCCUGAGUAGGGCGGGACACGAGGAAUCCUGUCUGAAUCCGGGUCGACCACGAUCCAACCCUAAAUACUAAUACCAGAUCGAUAGUGCACAAGUACCGUGAGGGAAAGGUGAAAAGAACUGAGGUGAUCAGAGUGAAAUAGAACCUGAAACCAUUUGCUUACAAUCAUUCAGAGCCCUAUGUAGCAAUACAGGGUGAUGGACUGCCUUUUGCAUAAUGAGCCUGCGAGUUGUGGUGUCUGGCAAGGUUAAGCAAACGCGAAGCCGUAGCGAAAGCGAGUCUGAAUAGGGCGCUUAGUCAGAUGCUGCAGACCCGAAACGAAGUGAUCUAUCCAUGAGCAAGUUGAAGCUAGUGUAAGAACUAGUGGAGGACUGAACCCAUAGGCGUUGAAAAGCCCCGGGAUGACUUGUGGAUAGGGGUGAAAGGCCAAUCAAACUUCGUGAUAGCUGGUUCUCUCCGAAAUAUAUUUAGGUAUAGCGUUGUGUCGUAAUAUAAGGGGGUAGAGCACUGAAUGGGCUAGGGCAUACACCAAUGUACCAAACCCUAUCAAACUCCGAAUACCUUAUAUGUAAUCACAGCAGUCAGGCGGCGAGUGAUAAAAUCCGUCGUCAAGAGGGAAACAACCCAGACUACCAGCUAAGGUCCCUAAAUCUUACUUAAGUGGAAAACGAUGUGAAGUUACUUAAACAACCAGGAGGUUGGCUUAGAAGCAGCCAUCCUUUAAAGAAAGCGUAAUAGCUCACUGGUCUAGUGAUUUUGCGCGGAAAAUAUAACGGGGCUAAAGUAAGUACCGAAGCUGUAGACUUGCACACAACUUAGAUUAUUUAAGUUUAGAAUAUGAGAAACUAAGUUAUAUGUUUAGUUAUAUUUUUACUGAUUUUUAUAGAGUAAAGAUAGAAAUAAAACUUAGUAAAAUCAGUAAAAAUAUUCUUAGACUAAAGUUAAGUAGUUUAAGUUGUGUGCAAGUGGUAGGAGAGCGUUCUAUUUGCGUCGAAGGUAUACCGGUAAGGAGUGCUGGAGCGAAUAGAAGUGAGCAUGCAGGCAUGAGUAGCGAUAAUUAAUGUGAGAAUCAUUAACGCCGUAAACCCAAGGUUUCCUACGCGAUGCUCGUCAUCGUAGGGUUAGUCGGGUCCUAAGUCGAGUCCGAAAGGGGUAGACGAUGGCAAAUUGGUUAAUAUUCCAAUACCAACAUUAGUGUGCGAUGGAAGGACGCUUAGGGCUAAGGGGGCUAGCGGAUGGAAGUGCUAGUCUAAGGUCGUAGGAGGUUAUACAGGCAAAUCCGUAUAACAAUACUCCGAGAACUGAAAGGCUUUUUGAAGUCUUCGGAUGGAUAGAAGAACCCCUGAUGCCGUCGAGCCAAGAAAAGUUUCUAAGUUUAGCUAAUGUUGCCCGUACCGUAAACCGACACAGGUGGGUGGGAUGAGUAUUCUAAGGCGCGUGGAAGAACUCUCUUUAAGGAACUCUGCAAAAUAGCACCGUAUCUUCGGUAUAAGGUGUGGUUAGCUUUGUAUUAGGAUUUACUCCGAAAGCAAGGAAACUUACAACAAAGAGUCCCUCCCGACUGUUUACCAAAAACACAGCACUCUGCUAACUCGUAAGAGGAUGUAUAGGGUGUGACGCCUGCCCGGUGCUCGAAGGUUAAUUGAUGGGGUUAGCAUUAGCGAAGCUCUUGAUCGAAGCCCGAGUAAACGGCGGCCGUAACUAUAACGGUCCUAAGGUAGCGAAAUUCCUUGUCGGUUAAAUACCGACCUGCAUGAAUGGCGUAACGAGAUGGGAGCUGUCUCAAAGAGGGAUCCAGUGAAAUUGUAGUGGAGGUGAAAAUUCCUCCUACCCGCGGCAAGACGGAAAGACCCCGUGGACCUUUACUACAGCUUGACACUGCUACUUGGAUAAGAAUGUGCAGGAUAGGUGGGAGGCUUUGAGUAUAUGACGCCAGUUGUAUAUGAGCCAUUGUUGAGAUACCACUCUUUCUUAUUUGGGUAGCUAACCAGCUUGAGUUAUCCUCAAGUGGGACAAUGUCUGGUGGGUAGUUUGACUGGGGCGGUCGCCUCCCAAAUAAUAACGGAGG